GCUGCCACAGGCGUUGCAGAGGUGGCUGCUGUGGCACCUCUUGUGUCAUUAGGUGGCAGAGAGAGACAGGCUGUGUUCUACGCUCCUGUGUUCUGAAAAACCCGUGGGCACUCGAGUGAUUGAUAGCCUGACAUU